AAUAUUUUUGAAAGUUCAAGAAUAUAUGCCUCUUUUUCAAAAUUGAAACCUUAAACUAAACUCUAUAACAUUCACUAAAAAAUGCAACACUCUUUAACAGCUAAUACCCAAUAACUUUCCCCUUUAUUUAUUCCCAUUUCCAUAUCUAUUUGGCUAGGCAUGUGACUACAGAGAGUAUUGCUAGUUGGAAGCUUCAUAUGUGCUGAUUGGUUGACUAAUUUUCUUAUUCUACUUCAUCAGAUGCCUGCUGCCUGAUAAAUGGAUAAGGAGCUAAGUUACAAUUACUUUUCAGCUGGAUUACCCUUCAUUAUAUUUUAUUGAUUUUGGCUUAAAAGCAUUUGGAUCUAUGGCUGUAACAGAAGGAGUGUGAAGAACAGCAGGGAAAAGGACGUGUUUCUGUAUGUUUUCAGUUGCCCUGAGAAGGUGUCUGUCUCCAUUGGACCAAAUGGGAUGCAUUUGAUGGUGCUGAGGGAGAUGGCUAUUGUCAUUGCUCUAUCACCUCUGAAAGGUCAUGGAGAUUGGGGAACAGAGGUUCCUGAUGGAGAAAGGCUAAAGUUACGCUGGUCUUCAGAAACGGCAAGCACAAUCCAAGGAACUUCAGAAGUCCCUGAGAAAAUCAAGAAGCAAAUCUGCUUGGAAGCUAUUUCUGGGCAUGUGAAGGAGAACACAGUGACUGAGAAUAGCCAGCAUGGAUUUGCUGUUGGUAAAUCACACCUGCUUUUCAAGACCUAACUGGACAAAGCCCUGAGCAACCUCGUCUGAAUUCGAUGUUGACUCUGCUUUGAGCAGGAGGUUGGACUAGAGACCUCCCAGGGUCACUUCCAGACUGAGUGAUUCAUUGAUUCUAUGCUAGUGACUAUACUUCAGCUGAAGAGGGUGAUGAAGGGGAAUAAUGUCUGAGGAGUUAUGAUUCUUUACACUAUCUGAUCCUAUUUGCAUCAAGAAAAUGAGGAAGUACUUUAAAAAUUCAGGAGACAUGUAAACAGUAAUUUUAUCUUAGUUUAAUGUUUACCAAACUUAAAGUAAUAUCAAUUUAUUCAAUAUUUCCCAAUAAAUACUAUGGUUAUAUUCAUUAACUCAGAAAAAGAACCUAAUGAAAAACUGUAUUUCAUGUUGGCUAACUCUUGUAUGUUUUCAUUUGACUGUUCUUAAACUAGUCCGAGUUAGUUUGUGAAAUUUGUACUUGAAAAGCAAAUUAGCUACUGGAAUAAGUUUUACUAAGAAUAAGGCAAAGGUCAAAACUUUUGAAAGAUUAUGUUACAAUUAUAUGGUAAUUUUUACUGACAAGAAUUAUGUUGUAGUUGCUGUGCUUAAUAAUAUGUGAUUUUGUAUUUCUCCCCCGUGAAUUUACAGAAAAAGAAAUUUACCUUAGAUUAAGUAAGAUCUCAAAACAGAUAUUUAUGGAAUAAAAACUUUCAUAAGCUUCA